GGGGAGCAAACAGGAUUAGAUACCCUGGUAGUCCACGCUGUAAACGAUGAGUACUAGGUGUCGGGGGUUACCCCCUUCGGGGCCGCAGCUAACGCAUUAAGUACUCCGCCUGGGAAGUACGCUCGAAAGAGUGAAACUCAAAGGAAUGGACGGGGACCCGCACAAGUAGCGGAGCAUGUGGUUUAAUUCGAAGCAACGCGAAGAACCUUACCUAAGCUUGACAUCCCAAUGACAUCUCCUUAAUCGGGGAGUUCC
rnacentral:rRNA from 1 species